rnacentral:rRNA from 1 species
UAAUACGAAGGGGGCUAGCGUUGCUCGGAAUCACUGGGCGUAAAGCGCACGUAGGCGGAUCUUUAAGUCAGGGGUGAAAUCCCAAGGCUCAACCUUGGAACUGCCUUUGAUACUGGGGAUCUCGAGUCCGGAAGAGGUUGGUGGAACUCCGAGUGUAGAGGUGAAAUUCGUAGAUAUUCGGAAGAACACCAGUGGCGAAGGCGGCCAACUGGUCCGGCACUGACGCUGAGGUGCGAAAGCGUGGGGAGCAGACAGG